CUACGUGCCAGCAGCCGCGGUAAUACGGAAGGUCCGGGCGUUAUCCGGAUUUAUUGGGUUUAAAGGGAGCGUAGGCCGUGGAUUAAGCGUGUUGUGAAAUGCAGGUGCUCAACGUCUGCACUGCAGCGCGAACUGGUCCACUUGAGUGUGCACAACGCAGGCGGAAUUCGUCGUGUAGCGGUGAAAUGCUUAGAUAUGACGAAGAACUCCGAUUGCGAAGGCAGCUUGCGGGAGCACAACUGACGCUGAAGCUCGAAAGUGCGGGUAUCGAACAGGAUUAGAUACCCUGGUAGUCCGCACGGUAAACGAUGGAUGCCCGUUGUCAGGCUGUUUCAGCCUGGUGACCAAGCGAAAGCAUUAAGCAUCCCACCUGGGGAGUACGCCGGCAACGGUGAAACUCAAAGGAAUUGACGGGGGCCCGCACAAGCGGAGGAACAUGUGGUUUAAUUCGAUGAUACGCGAGGAACCUUACCCGGGCUUGAA
rnacentral:rRNA from 1 species